rnacentral:rRNA from 1 species
UACGUAGGGUGCGAGCGUUGUCCGGAAUUACUGGGCGUAAAGAGCUCGUAGGUGGUUUGUCGCGUUGUUCGUGAAAACUCACAACUCAAUUGUGGGCGUGCGGGCGAUACGGGCAGACUGGAGUACUGCAGGGGAGACUGGAAUUCCUGGUGUAGCGGCGGAAUGCGCAGAUAUCAGGAGGAACACCGGUGGCGAAGGCGGGUCUCUGGGCAGUAACUGACGCUGAGGAGCGAAAGCGUGGGGAGCGAACAGGA